rnacentral:rRNA from 1 species
GAGUACGGUCGCAAGACUGAAACUCAAAGGAAUUGACGGGGGCCCGCACAAGCGGAGGAACAUGUGGUUUAAUUCGAUGAUACGCGAGGAACCUUACCCGGGCUUGAAAGUUAGUGACCGUUUUAGAGAUAGAAUUUCGCAGCAAUGCGCACGAAACUAGGUGCUGCAUGGUUGUCGUCAGCUCGUGCUGUGAGGUGUCGGCUUAAGUGCCACAACGAGCGCAACCCUUACCGUCGGUUGCCAGCGGGUAAUGCCGGGGACUUCGAUGGGACUGCCACCGUAAGGUGUGAGGAAGGUGGGGAUGACGUCAAAUCAGCACGGCCCUUACGUCCGGGGCGACACACGUGUUACAAUGGUCGGUACAGAGAGCUGCUACUAGGCGACUAGAUGCUAAUCUCGAAAGCCGAUCUCAGUUCGGAUCGGAGUCUGCAACUCGACUCCGUGAAGUUGGAUUCGCUAGUAAUCGCAUAUCAGCCAUGAUGCGGUGAAUACGUUCCCGGGCCUUGUACACACCGCCCGU